rnacentral:rRNA from 1 species
GACGAACGCUGGCGGCGUGCUUAACACAUGCAAGUCGAACGGAAAGGCCCUGCUUUGGUGGGGUGCUCGAGUGGCGAACGGGUGAGUAACCCGUGAGUAACCUGCACUUGACUGUGGGAUAACUUCAGGAAACUGGGGCUAAUACCGGAUAGGAGCUACUGCCGCAUGGUGGGGGUUGGAAAGUUUCGGCGGUUGGGGAUGGACUCGCGGCUCAUCAGCUUGUUGGUGGGGUAGUGGGUUACCAAGGCUUUGACCGGUAGCCGGCCUGGGAGGGUGACCUGCCCCAUUAGGCUUGAGAUACGGCCCAGCCUCGUACGGGAGGCAGCGGUGGAGAGUAGUACAUAAUGGGCGGAAGGCUGGUGCAGCACCGCCGCGUGGGGUAAGACAGCCUUGGGGUUGUGUAGCGCAUUCGCCUUUGACGAAGUGUUAGUGACGGUAAUGGGUGAAGAAGCACCGGCUAACUACGUG